rnacentral:rRNA from 1 species
UUAACCGUAUAGGGGAGCCGAAGGGAAACCGAGUCUUAACUGGGCGUUAAGUUGCAGGGUAUAGACCCGAAACCCGGUGAUCUAGCCAUGGGCAGGUUGAAGGUUGGGUAACACUAACUGGAGGACCGAACCGACUAAUGUUGAAAAAUUAGCGGAUGACCUGUGGCUGGGGGUGAAAGGCCAAUCAAACCGGGAGAUAGCUGGUUCUCCCCGAAAGCUAUUUAGGUAGCGCCUCGUGAAUUCAUCUCCGGGGGUAGAGCACUGUUUCGGCUAGGGGGCCAUCCCGGCUUACCAACCCGAUGCAAACUGCGAAUACCGGAGAAUGUUAUCACGGGAGACACACGGCGGGUGCUAACGUCCGUCGUGAAGAGGGAAACAACCCAGACCGCCAGCUAAGGUCCCAAAGUCAUGGUUAAGUGGGAAACGAUGUGGGAAGGCCCAGACAGCCAGGAUGUUGGCUUAGAAGCAGCCAUCAUUUAAAGAAAGCGUAAUAGCUCACUGGUCGAGUCGGCCUGCGCGGAAGAUGUAACGGGGCUAAACCAUGCACCGAAGCUGCGGCAGCGACGCUGAUGCGUUGUUGGGUAGGGGAGCGUUCUGUAAGCCUGUGAAGGUGGCCUGUGAGGGUUGCUGGAGGUAUCAGAAGUGCGAAUGCUGACAUAAGUAACGAUAAAGCGGGUGAAAAGCCCGCUCGCCGGAAGACCAAGGGUUCCUGUCCAACGUUAAUCGGGGCAGGGUGAGUCGACCCCUAAGGCGAGGCCGAAAGGCGUAGUCGAUGGGAAACGGGUUAAUAUUCCCGUACUUGGUGUUACUGCGAAGGGGGGACGGAGAAGGCUAUGUUGGCCGGGCGACGGUUGUCCCGGUUUAAGCGUGUAGGCUGGUUUUCCAGGCAAAUCCGGAAAAUCAAGGCUGAGGCGUGAUGACGAGGC